GGGCCCGCACAAGCGGAGGAACAUGUGGUUUAAUUCGAUGAUACGCGAGGAACCUUACCUGGGCUUAAAUGUAGAGUGCAUUAGGUGGAAACACUUAUUCCCUUCGGGGCUCUUUACAAGGUGCUGCAUGGUUGUCGUCAGCUCGUGCCGUGAGGUGUCGGGUUAAGUCCCAUAACGAGCGCAACCCCUAUCGUUAGUUGCCAGCGGGUAAAGCCGGGGACUCUAGCGAAACUGCCGGUGUAAACCGAGAGGAAGGUGGGGAUGACGUCAAAUCAGCACGGCCCUUAUGUCCAGGGCUACACACGUGUUACAAUGGCCAGUACAGUGGGCAGCUACCAUGUAAAUGGAUGCUAAUCUCCAAAGCUGGUCUCAGUUCGGAUUGGGGUCUGCAACUCGACCCCAUGAAGUUGGAUUCGCUAGUAAUCGUAUAUCAGCCAUGAUACGGUGAAUACGUUCCCGGGCCUU
rnacentral:rRNA from 1 species